CUACAUCUACCCUGUAGAUCCGAAUUUGUUCUAAGAUACAAACUGACAAAUUCGGUUCUAGAGAGGUUUGUGUG
rnacentral:pre_miRNA from 12 species